rnacentral:misc_RNA from 1 species
GGUCAAUGUGGUAACAUGAGGCUCCUCCUAAGGCAGCAACAAAGGAUUCUGCUGUCAAAAUCUGAAGUUGCUGGAUGGGGAGCCUUCCUGAAGAACCCUGUUUACAAAAAUGAUUACCUGGGAGAAUAUACGGGUGAAUUAAUUUCUCAUCGAGAAGCAGAUAAGCGGGGGAAAAUAUAUGAUCGUGCAAAUUCGUCUUUCCUUUUCGACUUGAAUGAUCAGUAUGUCCUCGAUGCCUAUCGGAAGGGAGACAAGCUGAAAUUUGCCAAUCACUCAUCAAACCCAAACUGCUUUGCUAAGGUAAUGCUGGUUGCUGGUGAUCAUCGAGUUGGGAUAUUUGCAAAGGAACGUAUUGAAGCUAGUGAGGAGCUUUUCUAUGAUUAUCGUUAUGGUCCUGAUCAAGCGCCAAUAUGGGCUAGGAAACCUGAGGGCACAAAGAGAGAUGAUUCACCAGCGCCUUUAGGUCGACCAAAGAAACACCAAUAAUCUCAUUGAGACAGCAUGCUUAACCAUUUCUAUCUGUGGAGUGCUUCACAUGGAGGAGGAACAGAGGAAGCUGUACUACUUCUCUUAUAUACUGUAAUAAAGCAGUCAUAAAGAUAUUUAUUUGUUUGUUCUUUGUUGAGGGGUUCCUUUAUAUUUUUUACAUUAUAGUGUGCUAAUAAUAAUAAGACAUCAAAGAAGUAAUAGGAGAGAGGAUCCAGCUAUGUAAAGAAUAAGCAGAAAAAUAUUGAAGGAAACAUGUAUACUGUAGUCGUCCGAACAAGGUGUCUGGU